rnacentral:lncRNA from 1 species
ACUAAAGUUGAACAUAAAAUAAUGUAGCUAGAACAAUAAACUUGUAUAAAGAAAUAUGUCUAAGAAGAAAAGAUUGAAUUUAUGAGAUAAUAUUACUUUGUAUAUAUGUUGUUACUCUUUUGUUGUUAUUACAAAACAAUAUAGGCUUAGUUUAAAUAGUAGACUACAUGCUAUAAAUUGAUAGAACAGAAUUAAACGUAAACAUAAGCCUCAACUUUCUUUCCUUCCUAUUUUUCAUGUUUCCAUAUUUAGCUUCUGCUGAAUAUUUCCA